rnacentral:rRNA from 1 species
UACAGAGGUCCCAAGCGUUGUUCGGAUUCAUUGGGCGUAAAGGGUGCGUAGGUGGCGUCGUAAGUCGGGUGUGAAAUUUCGGAGCUCAACUCCGAAACUGCAUUCGAUACUGCGGUGCUUGAGGACUGGAGAGGAGACUGGAAUUUACGGUGUAGCAGCGAAAUGCGUAGAGAUCGUAAGGAAGACCAGUGGCGAAGGCGGGUCUCUGGACAGUUCCUGACACUGAGGCACGAAGGCCAGGGGAGCAAACGGG